AUGGGCUGCAGUCUGCUGGAGAAAGAAGAUCCCAUCCUGAAUAGCUCUUCCUCUGCUUCUCUUGAACCCCAGGAAGUUACAACACACUCAGACCUGCCAGCCCAACUGCGACAAAAUUGUUCCUCAGUCAGUAUUCCGGAUCUGGCCCAGCGAGGACUGUAUGGAAUGAAAUACUACCUGGCAGUUUGCAAAGGCAGCGCGUAUGUGCGAAGAGAUUCCUGGCUACUGAGGGGUAGGAGUACUUGCCAGUGA
rnacentral:lncRNA from 1 species